AAAGGCCGAGCCGGAUGGUUGCUGCUCCAUGUGGAACGUGUUCUAUCAGGUGUAACAUCUACCAAUGUUUGUACAUAGACCUCCUCCACCUCUUUGCUGUCCUACUAGUCAACCCUCCUGCUCAGAGCCUUUCCUAAAUAGUGAAAGGAUCAUGCCAGCCCACAUCAAACACCUGA